GGAUUCCAAGGAAGGGAUGAUGUUCUAAGUAAGACCCAAGAAAAGGAUUCUGAGCCUCAGAGCUUUGAAGGACCCACUUGGUUCCUGACCUUCCAUCGGGAUCC
ensembl:snoRNA Gm22059 predicted gene, 22059